GCCGGGCGUGGUGGCGGGCGUCUGUGGUCCCAGCUACUCGGGAGGCUGAGGCAGGAGAAUCGCUUGAACCCAGGAGAGGGAGGUUGCAGUGAGCUGAGAUCGCGCCACUGCAAUCCAGCCUGGGUGACAGAGCGAGACUCUGUCUCAA
ensembl:misc_RNA Metazoa_SRP Metazoan signal recognition particle RNA